AGUGGGUGCUGAGAGGUACCGACCCUACCACUACCACUGCUGCUGUUAACCCGCCACCAAGAGUCUACCCGAACAACCCGAAUGUCAAUGCCAACCAGCCUAAUCCAAGAUUCAAUCCAAACAACCCGAACGGCAAUGUUAGCCAGCCUAAUCCAAGAUUUAAUCCAAGCAACCUGAAUGGCAAUCUCAGCCAGCCUAAUCCAAGAUUCAAUCCUAACAACCUGAAUGGGAAUGCUGGCCUGCCUAAUCAUAGCUCUGUUCCACCAUCAGAGAUUCGGCCACACAGAGGAGGAAAUAAUGGCGUUAUUAAAGGCCAUAUGGGCCAGUCAGUGAACCAUAGAAGGGAGAGGGGAAGGAGUGAGAAUCAGG
rnacentral:lncRNA from 1 species